UUCUGCGUUACCACAGUCAUCAGAGUCCAAUUUACUCUUCAGGGGCCCUAAUCAUUCUAUACCUGAACUGGACAGAAAGAAAAUAAUUUGUUCACUUAACAGAAAGAAAGUCUAUACUCCCAAAACAAAAUGAGUCAGACAGUGAUCUUUGAAUUAACAGGCUCUGCUGACGGACUAUUUUCCCCACUUUUCAUCAGUCUGGUGACAGUGGACUCUGGACAGAGAUAAAUGAGAGGUCAAGCUACCCUUCAUUUUUCCAGAGGAUUAUUUCACCCACAGAUAAGGCACGAAGAAGGAAGUAAUAGUCAAGACCAGCCUGUGAGAAAACAACAAAAAAAGGAUAACUAACAAAAGCCCCAUUCUCCAGCUCUUGCCCCGGCCAGCGCUUCAGCACGGAGAAUAGUCCUGGACUGAGCUUCAGAAGAUCUCAGAUCACUGACGUUCUGUCUAGAAGAAUACUCCAAGAUAUAUUUCUAAGUAAUAUUCCUUCUCUUGUUGGGGGAAAUUAGAGAAGAUUUCUACCUGGUGCCAUAUCAACUCAAGGAUGGAGUCAAAUACUGAGAGGCUCUGUCAUCUGUCUUUGGAUCUCCUUCUGUGAAAAUUCUAACAAGGAGCAAACAGCAAAGAACUGAAAUGCUAUACAGACUCCAGUGAGAAAAAACUGAGGUAAUUGGUUUCGGUGUGCUGGUGCUUGAAACUCUAUCCCAGUGCUUCCUUCAACUAAGGCUGCAAAUUGAAAAUGUGAAGAACCUUGCCUGCUUGAACCAGCCUGGGCUUGUGGCAGCAUCAUUCUGUCACUUAAUUCUUCUCACAGAGAUCACAUAGCUUUGCUUCCAUACCUAAAUUACUACAAAUUUGUGUCCGCUUGAAUGUUAUGUAAUUUAACCAGAAAUUGAAGAAAUACCACCAUUUUAAAGAAAAUAUGGUCAUAAACACUAUGGAAUACUAUGCAACCAUAACAAGAAUGAAAUCAUGUCCUUUGCAGCAACAUGGAUGUAGCUGGAGGCCAUUAUCCUGGGCAAAUUUGCAGGAGCAGAAAACCAGAUACCACAUCUCACAUGUAAGUGGGAGCUAAGCAUUUGGUAUACAUGGAUAUAAAGAUGGGAAAAAUAGACACUUGGUGACUAUUAGAGAGAGGAAAGAGGGAGAAGGGAGAAGCUAAAAACUACCUGUUGGGUAUUAUGCUCACUACUUGGGUGAUGGGAUCGUUUGUACCCCAAGCCUCAGCAUCACACGGUAUACCCAUGUAACAAACCUGCACACGGAUCCCCUGAAUCUAAAAUAAAAGUUGAAAUUAUUGUUUAAAAAAAAGGAUCUAAUAAACAUAGUAUUACAAUGUUGAUGCAUCCCUUAUUUUUAUUUAUUUAUUUAUUUUUGAGAUGCAACCUCCACCUCCUGGGUUCAAGCGAUUCUCCUGCCUCAGCCUCCUGAGUAGCAGGGAUUACAGGUGCAUGCCACCAUGCCCAGCUAAUUUUUUAUAUCUUUAGUAGAGACGGGGUUUCACCAUGUUGGCCAGGCUGGUCUCAAACUCCUGACUUUGUGAUCCACCUGCUUCGGCCUCCCAAAGUGCUGGGAUUUCAGGCGUGAGCCACCGCGCCC
rnacentral:lncRNA from 10 species